UUGUUAAGGUAGAAGAGAGAGAGAGAGAGAAACAAGACAAAAUUCUAGGUUUCUCUCUCCCUCUCUCUCUCUCUCUCUCCUCUCUUUCUUUAGU